AUUGUUGUCAAGAGGCAGUACCAUGGCCAAUGAGGUAAAUCCAAGGCGUGGUUAUUGCUAGUUGAAAAUCAUUAUUAUUAUUUUCAUUGUUGUUGAUGUUGCUGCUGCUGCUGUAGUUGUUGUUGUUGUGUCUAGCCUCA
rfam:Octopus bimaculoides Scaffold11026_contig_278, whole genome shotgun sequence.